AAAUUUAAAUAAAGCAUCCUUCUUCUUGGAUGCUGAAAAACAACUUAUUUUUUUCUAAGAAAUUAUACCAGUAUAAUUACAUUCAUAUAAUUGUGUUAGUAAAAUUAUGCAAAAUUUCUCAGUAUGGGCACUUGCAAAGCACUGAAUUUUGAUGCUGCUUGAAGUUUAUUUCUGAACAGUGUUUAUUCUUUUGUAUUAAGCCCUUCUUUGAAACCAAAUACAAGAACAGCAUCUUAAAGGAACUGAAACCUUUGUUAUCUUUUCUGCUAGUCAUUCAUUUUCUCUCUAUUAAAAUGAUAGGGGGGAAAGAAUCUGUUAUCAAUCAGCAGUUUAAAAUAAUUUUAAAAUUGUAUCAAAUGCAAGGACUCCUCUUAUUUUCAUCCUUGGAGUCCAGAAGCAAAAUGGAGCCUUAUUAAUGAAUUGACAGUUCAGAAUUCUUGUAACUUAUCAUUUUAUUUUUACCAAGUUUAUUUUAAUUUAUUUUUAGUUUCUAACAGCAGUGUGGCUGAUUUAUAAAGGUGAAGUUUUAGAAAUGUCAGAGGUCUGAAGGAAGUGUUUUUUACUUUUUUUCUUGAUGGACAGUUUCGCAUAUUGCAGGGCUUAGAUAGUCUAUUAAGUGACUGAAGAGAGCACAGAAGCAAGCAUUAUCAUCUAAACAGUCUGAACCCAAAGCCAUUUUAAUGCCAAAUUUAAUUGCGAAGGUAAGUUUUCAGGUGAGCAAGUGAUUAUAGAAGGCCGAUGUGUUUUGUGAUCAAUGGGGAUGGAGUCUGCAAGCACAAGAUGGUUUCAAGAAGCAAAGAACGGCCUAUUCAGCAAACAGUCAUUGAUGAAAAGUGAGGUUACUUUUAAUUUCUCAUACCAUAAGUAUUUCAUGUAUUUUUCAUCCUUAAUGGCAUUCUGGCUUGUUAUAGGAAUUAAGCACUGUGAGUUAAAAUAACAAAUCUGCACUAUGCUUUGCUGGGUUUUAAAUCAAAAUGGCAUUCUUCUUUCGUGAGCCCAUAAUCCUUUCUUUUAUAUAGUUUGAUGCUAGCCAGCUCUUGCUUCCUGAGGCAGAACCAUUAGAUAUCAAAAAUAUAAUUGCUCUCUAUAUGAGUGUUCCUUUGUAGCCCAUCCCUUUCAUGUUUUGAGGUUGCAGCACUUUUAUUUCUUUAAAAAUAUUCUAUUAACUUCUUCUGAAUUGCGUAUCCCAGCCUCCAUAGGUAACAGGUCAGUGUGUUGUUGGGAUACAGUGAAGAAGUGGGGCUUCUGUGUUAGGAUUUACUUUCUGGUGUGGCAGUUCGGCUGGAAAUUGUGAGAUUCACAGACAGACGAGUGUAAUUAUCCCAUCAAUGCCAGUUGGGAGUUAAUUAAUCUAUAACCUGGCAUCCAAAGUAGAAACUGUUUGGGGUGAGGAAGAGAAUCAUAAUGGCCUAUCUUACACUUGCUAGAGUGUUGGAGAUUUGGAAUACAGAUGUUGUAACAUAUACAUCAUUUUCUUUAAUGUAUUACAGGAGUAUUGCUAUACCUCAUUCCACAUCUAAAUAUAUGAGGGGGUGUUAUUUGUAUGGACAGGUGUUUUAAAACCCCAGGGUGUAUUUUUCUUGCUCUUCUUUCCAUUCUGUGUCUGUAAUUAAGAGCACUGCCAAGAACUGCACUGUGUGCUCCCCUGCCAGUGCCGUCCCCUGGGAGCCGCAGUGCCGCUCGGCGUGGAGAGGGAAGGAUUUAAGGAAUUCAUACGGCCUGUUCCCGAGAUCAACAACUGCCACUCUCUUCCCGAAGGUUAGAAUUAUAAAAGCCCAAAUACACAGACAUUUCCUUUAAUAAUACAGACCUGUUUUCUCUAGUCUGCCAGAAUUCAGAGCGUCUGGUGGUUUCCAUGGAGAGGUAUAUUUCUUACAAGGCCCAGCUAUUUUUGCAGACUAUUUUGCAGUGUAUUUGAACUUGCAGUCUUGUGUGCCAUUUCUCUUCUCCUCCCCUAGCAGUGCAGUGAAAUGCUGCCAAAUUCCCAUUAAGCACUGGCAAAGAGCAGGCUGAGGGCCCAGGCCGUGUCCCUGCCAUCCGGAGAGCAGUCUGUGUGCUGUCCCAGCCCUGGUGUCCUGGAGGUGGCAGAGAUGGGGCUGCCCCUGCUCUGCAACACCAGGAGGAUGCAAUGAUGUGCUGCUCAAGAAAAGGCAAUUUCAUUGUUGCUGUAUCAUCUAAUGACUUGGUCAGAGUUGUACGUGGACUGAAUGUCAGCUGCUUUUCUUAACUGACAGCCAAGCUUUCUCUGAUUGUGUAAUGAUAUAUAAAGUUUUGUCUCACAAACACAGUUUGUUCCAUAAUUGUCUCAUUAGAACUUAAACUGCACUCCUAGUGCACAGCUCCUCCAUUGCUUUCUUGUCAUGGCUACGAGAAGGGAAACCUCAGAAAGAUGUGACUA
ensembl:lncRNA